rnacentral:rRNA from 1 species
UACGGAGGGUGCGAGCGUUGUCCGGAAUCACUGGGCGUAAAGGGCGCGUAGGUGGCGCCGCAAGUCAACGGUGAAAGCUCGACGCUUAACGUCGAGUCGGCCGUCGAGACUGCGGGGCUCGAGCACUGUAGAGGCUCAUGGAAUUCCGGGUGUAGCGGUGGAAUGCGUAGAGAUCCGGAAGAACACCGGUGGCGAAGGCGGUGAGCUGGGCAGUUGCUGACACUGAGGCGCGACGAGCGUGGGGAGCAAACAGGG